rnacentral:rRNA from 1 species
GCCCCGGCUAACUACGUGCCAGCAGCCGCGGUAAUACGUAGGGGGCGGAGCGUUGUCCGGAAUUAUUGGGCGUAAAGGGUACGUAGGCGGACUUGAAAGUUUGACGUGAAAGCCCGGGGCUUAACCCCGGCGAGCGUUAAAAACUACAGGCCUUGAGUGGUAGAAGGGAUCGUGGAAUUCCUAGUGUAGCGGUGAAAUGCGUAGAGAUUAGGAAGAAUACCAGUGGCGAAGGCGACUGUCUGGACAUUAACUGACGCUGAGGUACGAAAGCGUGGGGAGCAAACAGGAUCAGAUACCCUGGUAGUCCACGCUGUAAACGAUGAGUGCAAGGUGUUGGGGGUCAAACCCCGGUGCCGCCGUUAACACAGUAAGCACUCCGCCUGGGGAGUACGUACGCA